CCGGAGUGAGUAUUAUAUCAGGUACUGGUGUGAUUUAAAAAGCCGAACGUUGGGUAUCCCACCAAUCUGGGGCGGAUGUACGGUUCGGUCAACUAUCAGUACUUGUGUUAUACUCUCUCCGU
rnacentral:pre_miRNA from 1 species